UACAGAGGGGGCAAGCGUUGUUCGGAAUUACUGGGCGUAAAGGGCGCGUAGGCGGCCGCCUAAGUCAGACGUGAAAUCCCUCAGCUUAACUGGGGAACUGCGUGUGAUACUGGAUGGCUUGGAUUUGGGAGAGGGAUGCGGAAUUCCAGGUGUAGCGGUGAAAUGCGUAGAUAUCUGGAGGAACACCGGUGGCGAAGGCGGCAUCCUGGACCAACACUGACGCUGAGGAGCGAAAGCCAGGGGAGCAAACGGG
rnacentral:rRNA from 1 species